AUAAACGUUUGCGGCGUGCCUGAUGCAUGCAAGUCGAACGCCCUGAUUUUUCGCAAGAUUUAUCAGGGAGUGGCGAACGGCUGAGUAACACGUAAGUGACCUGUCCCUAAGUGGGGGAUAACUUGCCGAAAGGCAGGCUAAUACCGCAUGUGAUGGUAAGCGUUGGUUUACCAUUAAAGCUUUUGCGCUUUGGGAGGGGCUUGCGUCUGAUUAGCUAGUUGGUAGGGUAAUGGCCUACCAAGGCGAUGAUCAGUAGCUGGUCUGAGAGGACAACCAGCCAGACGGGGACUGAGAUACGGCUCUGACUCCUACGGGAGGCAGCAGCAAGGAAUUUUGCGCAAUGGGCGAAAGCCUGACGCAGCGACGCCGCGUGGGGGAUGACGGCCUUCGGGUUGUAAACCCCUUUUUACGAGGAAGAAAUAUGAUGGUACUCGUAGAAUAAGUCUUGGCUAACUACGU
rnacentral:rRNA from 1 species